GCUCCAGGCUUUUGUUCCAGCCAGACAGUAGCACAAUUGUUUCUACUCAUCAACUCAUCAGUCUCCAGUCAACUGAUUCCACUCAUCAACUAAUCAGUCUCCAGUCAACUGUUUCUACUCAUCAACUCAUCAGUCUCCAGUCAACUGAUUAUACUCAUCAUUCUACCCCCACAUUGCAAGCAAAAUAUUUGAAUGGCUCCCCCCCUUGACAUCGGAGAAUUGUUUUUAACAUUUCUGAGUGUAUUCCAUGCAACUCUACACAUUUUGGCAUGAGGCUGAGAGAAGAUUUACAAUUUUAUAACUCAAUUCACUCAAUUUUACUCAUUUUGACAUGGGGCGGAGAUGAAAAUGAGCUGUUUUACAGCUAAUUUCCUGCAAUUCUAGAAAUGUUUUCAUAGGGUGGAGAGAAAUGUUUGCAGUUUUUUAUAUUAUAUCUGAGUGAGACUGACUAACAAUAUCAAUGGAGCCUUCCCAGCAGGUAAUUUGACCAUGACAACAAGUUUAGACAGACUAUCAGUGACUUACUUAACAAGAGAAAAACUGCUGAUGCGCAACCAAAUUUCUAAAUUGCACCUUGUGCGUUCCACAAAAAAAAAGAAAAUCUGAGGGCUUUCAAAAGGUAAGGGCCACCGGUUGAGAUAUAGUUUGGUGCAGUAUGGUGCAGGUAGAGUAUGGUGCAGUAUUGUGCAGGUAGAGUAUGGUACAAGUAGAGUAUGGUACAGUAUGGCGCAGUAUGGUACAAUAUGGUGCAGACACAGUAUCAUGCAGUAUGGUGAAGGUACAGUAUGGUGCAGGUAGAGUGUGGUGUAGGUAGAAUAUGAUUCAGGUACAUUAUGUUACAGUAUGGUACAAUAUGGUGCAGAUACAGUAUCAUGCAGUAUGGUGAAGGUACAGUAUGGUACAGGUAGAGUAUGGUGCAUGUAGAGUGUGGUGUAGGUAGAGUAUGGUGCAGUAUUGUGCAGGUAGAGUAUGGUACAAGUAGAGUAUGGUACAGUAUGGCGCAGUAUGGUACAAUAUGGUGCAGACACAGUAUCAUGCAGUAUGGUGAAGGUACAGUAUGGUGCAGGUAGAGUGUGGUGUAGGUAGAAUAUGAUUCAGGUACAUUAUGUUACAGUAUGGUACAAUAUGGUGCAGACACAGUAUCAUGCAGUAUGGUGAAGGUACAGUAUGGUGAAGGUACAGUAUGGUGCAUGUAGAGUGUGGUGUAGGUAGAAUAUGAUUCAGGUACAUUAUGUUACAGUAUGGUACAAUAUGGUGCAGAUACAGUAUCAUGCAGUAUGGUGAAGGUACAGUAUGGUACAGGUAGAGUAUGGUGCAUGUAGAGUGUGGUGUAGGUAGAAUAUGAUUCAGGUACAUUAUGUUACAGUAUGGUACAAUAUGGUGCAGACACAGUAUCAUGCAGUAUGGUGAAGGUACAGUAUGGUGAAGGUACAGUAUGGUGCAUGUAGAGUGUGGUGUAGGUAGAAUAUGAUUCAGGUACAUUAUGUUACAGUAUGGUACAAUAUGGUGCAGACACAGUAUCAUGCAGUAUGGUGAAGGUACAGUAUGGUGAAGGUACAGUAUGGUGCAUGUAGAGUGUGGUGUAGGUAGAAUAUGAUUCAGGUACAUUAUGUUACAGUAUGGUACAAUAUGGUGCAGAUACAGUAUCAUGCAGUAUGGUGAAGGUACAGUAUGGUACAGGUAGAGUAUGGUGCAUGUAGAGUGUGGUGUAGGUAGAAUAUGAUUCAGGUACAUUAUGUUACAGUAUGGUACAAUAUGGUGCAGAUACAGUAUCAUGUAGUAUGGUGAAGGUACAGUAUGGUACAGGUAGAGUGUGGUGCAUGUA
rnacentral:lncRNA from 1 species